rnacentral:rRNA from 5 species
GGUUAAGCGACUAAGCGUACACGGUGGAUGCCCUGGCAGUCAGAGGCGAUGAAGGACGUGCUAAUCUGCGAAAAGCGUCGGUAAGGUGAUAUGAACCGUUAUAACCGGCGAUGUCCGAAUGGGGAAACCCAGUGCAAUUCGUUGCACUAUCGUUAACUGAAUACAUAGGUUAACGAGGCGAACCGGGGGAACUGAAACAUCUAAGUACCCCGAGGAAAAGAAAUCAACCGAGAUUCCCCCAGUAGCGGCGAGCGAACGGGGAGCAGCCCAGAGUCUGAAUCAGCUUGUGUGUUAGUGGAACGGUCUGGAAAGUCCGACGGUACAGGGUGAUAGUCCCGUACACCAAAAUGCACAGGUUGUGAACUCGAAGAGUAGGGCGGGACACGUGGUAUCCUGUCUGAAUAUGGGGGGACCAUCCUCCAAGGCUAAAUACUCCUGACUGACCGAUAGUGAACCAGUACCGUGAGGGAAAGGCGAAAAGAACCCCGGCGAGGGGAGUGAAAAAGAACCUGAAACCGUGUACGUACAAGCAGUGGGAGCACCUUCGGGUGUGACUGCGUACCUUUUGUAUAAUGGGUCAGCGACUUAUAUUCUGUAGCAAGGUUAACCGUAUAGGGGAGCCGCAGGGAAACCGAGUCUUAACUGGGCGUUAAGUUGCAGGGUAUAGACCCGAAACCCGGUGAUCUAGCCAUGGGCAGGUUGAAGGUUGGGUAACACUAACUGGAGGACCGAACCGACUAAUGUUGAAAAAUUAGCGGAUGACUUGUGGCUGGGGGUGAAAGGCCAAUCAAACCGGGAGAUAGCUGGUUCUCCCCGAAAGCUAUUUAGGUAGCGCCUCGUGAACUCAUCUUCGGGGGUAGAGCACUGUUUCGGCUAGGGGGUCAUCCCGACUUACCAACCCGAUGCAAACUACGAAUACCGAAGAAUGUUAUCACGGGAGACACACGGCGGGUGCUAACGUCCGUCGUGAAGAGGGAAACAACCCAGACCGCCAGCUAAGGUCCCAAAGUCAUGGUUAAGUGGGAAACGAUGUGGGAAGGCACAGACAGCCAGGAUGUUGGCUUAGAAGCAGCCAUCAUUUAAAGAAAGCGUAAUAGCUCACUGGUCGAGUCGGCCUGCGCGGAAGAUGUAACGGGGCUAAACCAUGCACCGAAGCUGCGGCAGCGACACUAUGUGUUGUUGGGUAGGGGAGCGUUCUGUAAGCCUGCGAAGGUGUGCUGUGAGGCAUGCUGGAGGUAUCAGAAGUGCGAAUGCUGACAUAAGUAACGAUAAAGCGGGUGAAAAGCCCGCUCGCCGGAAGACCAAGGGUUCCUGUCCAACGUUAAUCGGGGCAGGGUGAGUCGACCCCUAAGGCGAGGCCGAAAGGCGUAGUCGAUGGGAAACAGGUUAAUAUUCCUGUACUUGGUGUUACUGCGAAGGGGGGACGGAGAAGGCUAUGUUAGCCGGGCGACGGUUGUCCCGGUUUAAGCAUGUAGGCUGGUUAUCCAGGCAAAUCCGGAUAAUCAAGGCUGAGGUGUGAUGACGAGGCACUACGGUGCUGAAGUAACAAAUGCCCUGCUUCCAGGAAAAGCCUCUAAGCAUCAGGUAACAUCAAAUCGUACCCCAAACCGACACAGGUGGUCAGGUAGAGAAUACCAAGGCGCUUGAGAGAACUCGGGUGAAGGAACUAGGCAAAAUGGUGCCGUAACUUCGGGAGAAGGCACGCUGGUGUGUAGGUGAAGUCCCUGCGGAUGGAGCUGAGACCAGUCGAAGAUACCAGCUGGCUGCAACUGUUUAUUAAAAACACAGCACUGUGCAAACACGAAAGUGGACGUAUACGGUGUGACGCCUGCCCGGUGCCGGAAGGUUAAUUGAUGGGGUUAUCCGUAAGGAGAAGCUCUUGAUCGAAGCCCCGGUAAACGGCGGCCGUAACUAUAACGGUCCUAAGGUAGCGAAAUUCCUUGUCGGGUAAGUUCCGACCUGCACGAAUGGCGUAAUGAUGGCCAGGCUGUCUCCACCCGAGACUCAGUGAAAUUGAACUCGCUGUGAAGAUGCAGUGUACCCGCGGCAAGACGGAAAGACCCCGUGAACCUUUACUAUAGCUUGACACUGAACAUUGAGCCUUGAUGUGUAGGAUAGGUGGGAGGCUUUGAAGCGUGGACGCCAGUCUGCGUGGAGCCAACCUUGAAAUACCACCCUUUAAUGUUUGAUGUUCUAACGUUGGCCCCUGACCGGGGUUGCGGACAGUGUCUGGUGGGUAGUUUGACUGGGGCGGUCUCCUCCCAAAGCGUAACGGAGGAGCACGAAGGUUAGCUAAUCCUGGUCGGACAUCAGGAGGUUAGUGCAAUGGCAUAAGCUAGCUUGACUGCGAGCGUGACGGCGCGAGCAGGUGCGAAAGCAGGUCAUAGUGAUCCGGUGGUUCUGAAUGGAAGGGCCAUCGCUCAACGGAUAAAAGGUACUCCGGGGAUAACAGGCUGAUACCGCCCAAGAGUUCAUAUCGACGGCGGUGUUUGGCACCUCGAUGUCGGCUCAUCACAUCCUGGGGCUGAAGUAGGUCCCAAGGGUAUGGCUGUUCGCCAUUUAAAGUGGUACGCGAGCUGGGUUUAGAACGUCGUGAGACAGUUCGGUCCCUAUCUGCCGUGGGCGCUGGAGAAUUGAGGGGGGCUGCUCCUAGUACGAGAGGACCGGAGUGGACGCAUCACUGGUGUUCGGGUUGUCAUGCCAAUGGCACUGCCCGGUAGCUAAAUGCGGAAGAGAUAAGUGCUGAAAGCAUCUAAGCACGAAACUUGCCCCGAGAUGAGUUCUCCCUGAGACUAUAAGUCUCCUGAAGGAACGUUAAAGACGAUGACGUUGAUAGGCCGGGUGUGUAAGCGCAGCGAUGCGUUGAGCUAACCGGUACUAAUGAACCGUGAGGCUUAACCUU